rnacentral:tRNA from 1 species
GGGCGCAUAACUCAGUUCGGUUAGAGUGCCAUCUUCACACGGUGGAAGUCGCUGGUUCAAAUCCAGCUGUGCCCA